GUACCAUUCUCUUCCUUUAAUUGUGUUUAAAAGUGGAGUUGUGAUAUUAAUUGUCCCUUCCAUUAAUUAUUUAACUGUAUUUGAUCAUAAAAAGGGGUUUUUUUUUUUUUUGGGCCCUAAGAUCUUUGGGCCCUGAGUCAAUGGGCUCUUAAGACUCUUAUCAAGUCCGGGCCUAGCUCACGUUGAUUAGUUGUAGACGUAAUUUUUCCCAUUCUGUUAGGAUUGUAAAAGACUAUUUAUAAGCCUAAUUUUUUCAAUAAGAUGCAAGUCGUUGCCAAAAUUUGUUGAGUAUAUUAGUAUAUAUAUUCCUUUCUUUGUGUGUUUAGAACUUUAAUGACAAAGACAAAGAAGUAAUGGAGCAAUAUCAGUUCCACUUAGAGAGAGAGAGAGCUAUAUGAGAUACUAUAUCGAAUUAGUUAACAUGCGAUCCCGAACUAUUCUAGUUAUAAUUUGAAUUUUCAAGUGAUCUUAUCAAGAUUAUCAUUCUCAUUCCAUAAUAUUCUAUUUUGCCUUCCAUUCUUUCGCCUGCCUCUCUACUCUCUAGAAAAUGCUAUGUUUUUCAUUAUAUCUGCCAUUAUCAAAAACUAUAUAUCUCCGAUAGCAAUAAGAAAAUUAAGUAAUUUUCCUGCCUUUGAAAUUGCAGGAGAUUUAUUUUGUAAUUUUCUAAAUAAAGAUACUCUAAAGUCUAAACUAUCGCUACUGGUUUUUCGGUCAGCUUUGUGGUUAAGGCGUCCGCCUUUCUCACGAGCUGGCGGGGUUCGAAAGCUGGUAUGACGGUGGUGGUGAUUGUGGAGGUGUUCUGGUUGUGGAGUUUGUUUCUUCCUCAAACCCAAAACCAAAACGAUAUAAAGGAACCAAAAAAAAAAAAAAAGUCUAAACUAUCGCUGUUGCUCACUUGCCCGUACUCGCUUUCACAUGGAGCUCCCUCCUUCACGUGUAAACGCCCUCAAAGCGAGUGUCAACCCCACUCUCUUACUGCGUCUGGUUUAGCUCUUAUGUGACAACCGGAACCGCCUGGAAUGAAUCAAUCCCACAUGGCAAAUUCUUAGACUUAAAAAAAGAAAAAAAAAAAAAAACGUUCAAACCGAAAAAACAAAAUAAUAAUCAGAUCUACACGCCUCUUCCUUAAAAACCCAGUUCAGCUGAGUUCAGUCCAGUUCGGUCUCUCUCAUUCUCUUUGUGCUCCUCUCUCCCCCGGCUCGAUGACGUCAUCGAACAUGCAGUACAACAGCCUGGGCCGUUCGGGGCUGAAGGUGAGCCAGCUCUCAUACGGCGCGUGGGUGAGCUUCGGGAACCAGCUGGACGUGAAGGAGGCGAAGUCGCUCCUCCAGUGCUGCCGUGAUCACGGCGUCAACUUCUUCGACAACGCCGAGGUCUACGCGAGCGGCCGCGCCGAGGAGAUCAUGGGCCAGGCGAUACGUGAGCUGGGGUGGAAGCGCUCCGACAUCGUGGUCUCGACCAAGAUCUUCUGGGGCGGGCCCGGCCCGAACGACAAGGGGCUGUCACGGAAGCACGUCGUGGAAGGGACAAAGGCGUCGUUGAAGAGGUUGGAUAUGGAGUACGUGGACCUUAUUUAUUGUCACCGGCCGGACUCGACGACGCCGAUCGAGGAGACGGUGAGGGCGAUGAAUUAUGUGAUUGAUAAGGGGUGGGCGUUUUAUUGGGGGACUAGUGAGUGGUCGGCGCAGCAGAUCACUGAGGCUUGGGGGAUUGCUGAAAGGUUGGACUUGGUUGGUCCGGUUGUGGAGCAGCCCGAGUAUAAUCUCUUGUCCAGGCACAAGGUUAGUCAUUCUCUUUUUAUUUAUUUAUUUAUUUUUAAUUUUUUUAUUAUCGUUGAAAUGAUGAACUUUUGGUGAUUGUAGGUAACAAUUCUGUUGAUGUUGAUGGAUGAUCAUUUUUGUAGUGAUUUCCGAUAAGAAAUGGAUAGUUGAUAGAGGAUCAGUAAUUAUUCGAUAAUUUUGAGUGAGAGAUGGCUAAUGAUUCAAGCAGCCUACUAUGUGCUUUUGAAUUAGGUAUUAGUUGACAAAGGAUCAAGUACCUGGUUUUAGUCAUUAAAGAUGAAAACUUUCUUUUGUGCUGCAGAUUGUGUUAUUUCUUCUGACUUGUAUUCCUGUUCUUCUUUGCCCCAGUGGCUUAAUGACAUCAUCGUUAUUGACCCAAAAAACAAAAAAAAAAAAACCAAGAUCCCUCAGAUAUAGUAGUUUUCAGUUAAGUAUCAGUUCGACGAUUAUUGGUAUCAAAGUUUUUUGGUUGAUUUGAAAACUGCCCAGAGAUUCCCUUUAUGUUUUUUUAGUACUUAGAAGCCACACACAUUUGCUAGUUUUCAUCUACUAUUGUUCUUUUCUUGUUGCGAGACUCAAGUUUUUUUCCUAGUAGCUACACGCGUAGGGCAUCUUCUCACAAGAAAAGUCACUAUGAGCAUCUUUGCUGUUCUUUUCAGUGAGCUUAUCUGAUUAUUUGCUAGUUUUUUUACAAUUCUUUGUAAUAAGUCUGUCCUCUUUGUAUUGGAUGUAUGUAUAGAAUUGGAUAUAGGUCUUCCCAACUUAGAAAAAGAUCUCAUUAAAACCAAUAAAAUGUUACUAUUGCUAUCUUGACCUGAGUGCUUUAGCUUUAAUUGCUUGCAUUGAUACUGCUCGACUUAUCAACUUGUAAUCCACAGCACACCUAUGCUUCUUAUGUGGGGUUAUAUUGCUCACAUUAAUCCUUUAGCAUAAUGUGAACAUGGAUAUUUUUCCUUAGCUCGAUUGCUUUAUUUCCUAAUAUCUAUUGUUAAUGGCCAAGAGAACAUGGAUAUUGUAGUUAUAGCUGCAGAAGAGUGGAAUUUUGUUCUCUUCCUUUCUCUCGUCUGUUUUACUCACUUUGAUUAUAACUUGAGUGCAGGUUGAGUCUGAGUUCCUUCCAUUAUACAGCAACUAUGGCCUGGGUCUUACCACCUGGAGCCCACUUGCUUCCGGUGUGCUUACCGGAAAAUAUAACAAGGGAAAUAUACCACCUGAUAGCCGAUUUGCAUUGGAGAACUACAAAGUAAGACUUGGACUUAUUGGUUGUAGAACUCUUUGGUCCUGUCUGCAUGCAUUGUCUAACUGCUCUUUUCUCUGUUAUGCAUUUCCUCAAAUUGAUUAACCACAUGUAUAUUUAGUACUUCUAUUAUCUAUUCAUUGUGUUUACAACUUUACAUCAUUGGUCCUCACUUCAUUAAAGAGAUUUUUUCCCUGCCUGUAUGUGCAACCUUACUGCAUAUUGAUUAAGCUGUAGACUGUAGAGGAUGCAUGACCAUCAAAUGCCUAAGAGUUUUAUAUGAUGCAGGAAAUUUGGUCAUUAAAGCUCUGUUUACUACGAUAUUGUUUUAGACUGCUCUUCCUCUGUAGUACUUUUGUUAGUACUGGGAUUGCUAGAAUUGGAUCAUUAGCAACCUAGUGGUUAAGCAUUUUAUAUCUUUUCAAAUCUGAAGCCAGUUCUGUUCAUUUAGUCAGACACUACAAAGUAUCCUUUGGGUUGGUCGAAAGGUUUUGACACUGUCAAAUGCAUUUCCCUAGACUUUAAGGAAGCAUUGUUGGUCAUUUCAUUCUUUAAUAUCUUUUUCUGAUGAUAUGCCAAAUAACUUUAUCUAAAAUUAAUUGGUGUCAGAAUAUAUUGUUAUGAACUUUCUACUCCUUGUGUGGUUAAUAACGUUUUUAUUCAUGUAUUACAGAAUCUAGCCAGUAGGUCACUGGUUGAUGAUGUGCUGAAGAAAGUUAAUGGUCUGAAGCCAAUUGCAGAUGAAUUGGGCGUGCCACUAGCUCAACUUGCAAUUGCCUGGUGUGCUGCUAAUCCUAAUGUGUCAUCAGUAAUUACUGGUGCUACAAAGGAAUCCCAGGUUAGUUUUCAUAUUUCACAUCCUUGUGACGUCCUUCAUUUGUGUCAACUGAUAAUCUUCUACUUUAUAAAAGAAGAUAUGUUGUGUCCCUACCUGUGUAUUCUCUCCAGUGGGUCUGAACGCUAUCUUUCGUCUUAAUAAUGGCGUUCAAUGGAUAUAGUAAUUUGUGUUGUUUCUAAUAUGCUGGGGCAUCAGUAUGGUUUCUCUAGUGUCAUUUUGUUGAGGGGGUAGAACGUAGAAGUGAUAAUUAUCAUCUUUUCUUUUCUUUUCAGUGAGCUUAUCUGAUAAUCGGCAGUUUGCUUUAUUUGAAUUUUAAGUAGUAAUCAGAGCUCAAAUUUGGGUUUCAUUACCAUUUAGGCGAUCAUUAUAUGGUUGGCUUUUAUGGUUCCUAUUAUUUCAAGAAUUCUUGCUAGAUCCCAGAGGAAAUGGUUUUACAUUGAGGAGAGGGAAACAAGAGAUAUUGGAAAUUGACUAUACAGGAACAUUAUUGAUAAACAGAGAAGAGAGAACUGUUAUUUAGAAUCUUAAUAACCACCCUUUCCUAGUUUGAGUUUUUAUAAGCUUCUAUUCCUUUAUAACACUGACCUAAAUGUUGUGAUCUUCUAUGCAGAUCCAGGAGAACAUGAAAGCAAUUGAUGUGAUCCCUCUUUUGACUCCUGCUGUAAUGGAGAAGAUUGAGAAUGUUGUUCAAAGCAAGCCGAAGCGUCCAGAAUCGUAUAGGUGAAGAACAGUAUAUUUAUGUGGGCUCCAUAUAUUUAUGCACACUACACAGAAGAUUUCUCUUCUCCAACAGACUGGAAAUGAAGCUUGCCUUGUUAUUCUGUUGGUUAGUUUGUCUUAUCUGUGUUCUUGUGAAUGCUUGGACAAUUGAUUUGAUGUACUCUGUAUGGUAAUUUCUAGCACCCCCUCUUUGAUAUAAGGUGGGGGAGUUGCGUAUGUUAUGUAUUGUGGAUCUUUCUUAUAUGAAAUAUUUAACAUUGAUCGGCUUCAAAGGUUUUCACCCGGUUUAGCAUGGAAUUCUCCAUGGUUAGGAGAAGUCUAUGUGGGGUAUAAGAACACAUGUUACACUAUGUUUUACUUUCUUAGUUGAUAAUCUCUUGCAUUGUAAAGUGGUGCAGUUGAUUCUUUAUUGUGAAGCCUUAAAGGUGUGGCCUCAUAUGUACGAGUGUCCUGUUCUAGCAUUUCAAGGACUAAAGAAGUUCGAUGGUCGUGGGUAGUUCCAUAGUUUGCUCGGAGAUUGUGAUGAGAAACUUGUUUCUUUCUGCCCUUUGGUUGUGUAUUUGCCCACUUAAUUUAGUCAUGAGAUUUGGAGAAGCCAAUUUUGAGUAGGUUUAACAAUGAAAAUUGUUACAAACAGGAUUUAUCCCUCGUUCUAUAGUUAUAAGAGAAUAGUCUGAAUAGAUGAGCAAGGUGUAUGAUAUGGUCGAGGUGUUUCUGGAGACUGGGGAGUGAUGCUGCAAUUUGAUUUCCAUAUAAACUUGGUCAAAAUGGUUAUGACAGACAUAUGAGUUGUGAUCAUCGCCAUCAUAGUGUCGAAAGGAGGAUUUCCUCACUUAUCUCUAUUAAUUAAGGCAAUUUGCCUUAUGGAUUUGAGUUAUUUCUCUUGUUGAGAAUGUGCAGUAUUGUAGUUUUAGAGAUUUGGGGUAUUGUCCUGUCGUCCUUUUCGUCUUGGUGUUGUUGGUUCCUAGAGCAUACCUUAAGCAGUAGAUUGUGUGACGCCAAAAUAUAAACCCCGCUUACAUUGAGGAGAAAAUGUAACUCUAUAUUACAGGUCAUUCGGCUAUUCUCAUAUUUGAGUUGUGCUAUAUUUAGAGUCGGUUAAAACAAAUUAGAAAUGCACUUAACCUAGCAAUCUAAUGAUUAAAAAACCUAAUCCUUGGUUUGUUGUUCUGUCAAAAGAAAAAUAACAUAAACUUGCAUUCGGCGAACAACAAAAUUUGUUUUGAUUGAUGAUGGAGAGGAUGUGGAUUUUGGUUUUCAACAAAGAUUCAUAAAUUAGUUUUAGCAGUUAGACCUUUCCCUUUCCCUCCAGCAAUCCCUGAAUCGAUGCCGCGUCAUCCUUUGGCAAUUCUCUCUCUCAACCCACACCCCACAAACAAAACCAAACUCAAAAUCCAUUUACCUCUUUUUGUUUCCUCGUUUGAUCCCCAAACGUUGAAACCCCACUGCAGCUUCGUUCCCUAUGUUGAACAGAAAAUUCUAACAAUCACAAAGGUACCCGUUUUACUAUGUCUUUUCUUUGAUUUGCAUGUUCAUUAUUUUAUGUAAUUCUGCAUUUCCACACCUAUCUCUUCGUUGUUUCAUGUUUAUCUUUGUUCUCCAAUACUUGGUGAUCAUGAAUUGUUUUGUGAAAUGCUCAAAUCAUGGACUAUGGGGUUUGUGUAUUGGUAGAGUUUGUUAGGUUGAGUAUAUUAUUAGCUUCUUUUUCUUAUUAUUGAUAUUGGUUAGACUCUAGCAAAUCGUUGCACAGUUUGAUUGGUUUAGUUUUGUGACAGAUAUAUGACCUUGUUGGAUUUGAAAGUUUGUGAAUGGUAAACUGUAAAGACAGAUAUAGCAUGUACAUGAUACAUCAAAUACUUGGUUAGAGUUAGGUUUUUCACUUGGCAUUUGGUACAAAGUAUGAACGUGGGACAUGUUGUGGAGAAAGUCCUGUUGGAAAGAAUCUGGGGAUGAGUUUGUAGAAAGAACUUUUGUAUUUGAAUUUGGGAUUGUCUUCAAGGAAGAGUUAGAGCUUGGAAGGCCAGAGAUUUUUCGUUGUUAUGCCUUGAACAUGUAGAACUACUUUUGAGACCAUGACUAGUGAGGUUCGUGGUACUUCUGGCCCUCAGUUCCGCACAGAUGCAACAAAUCAUGUGUCAAGUGACAGAAGUGGUGGAGAUAGAGAUGAAGAUAUUAUUUGUGUACAGACAGGCGAGGAAUUCUCAACAGAGUUUCUGCAGGAUCGUAUAGCACAAAGAAGAUUAGCUCCAGUAGUGACUGGUACUGUUGAUCAGCACCAGUCAAAAAGAGUGGGAUUUAAUUUAACUCAAAACAAUCCAUUUGUUAGUGAGGAUCCAAAUGCAGUUCUUGGUUUAAGGAGAUUAGAUUCUGAUGGAAGUUCAGAAUUUUCAGAUUUUGUUACAGCUGGUACAGGUUAUGUGCCUGACUUAGAGAAGAAUGUUUUUACUAGUAGUAAUAUCAGCAGAAACUAUGGUGGUCUUCGAAGACAACUAUCAGGUAAGCUUGCGGAUGAAGUUACUCGGGUUAUUCCUAGAUCAAAUACUCCACCUCUUUAUGUUGGUGAAUCCCCUCAGUCAUAUAGUCCAUAUGCUCAAGGAUUUUUUGAAGGCUCUUUCUCUUUCAAAAUGAAGUUCCUCUGCAGUUUUGGGGGAAGAAUAUUACCUAGGCCAAAUGAUGGGAAGCUCAGAUAUGCCGGUGGAGACACACGGAUUUUAUCAAUUCACAAAGCCACCAAUUUUGAGGAACUAAUGAAGAAGACAUUGGCAAUUUGUAACCACCACCACAGUAUCAAGUACCAACUUCCUGGUGAGGAUCUUGACGCACUUGUAUCUGUUUGUUCUGAUGAGGACCUCCAUCAUAUGAUAGAGGAAUAUAAUGAGCUGGAAAGAACUGAGGGUUCUCAGCGAUUGCGGCUCUUUCUUGUACCUUUAAAUGAACCAGAGAGCCCUACUUCUAAUGAAGGCAGGGUCACACAUCCAAUUGGACCUGACUGCCAAUUUGUCUUUGCUGUUAAUGGCAUGCUAGACAAAAGUCCUCGGAAAAGUUCCAGCGGUCAGAGUGUGACAAGUCAGACCAGUCACUUAGGGAAUGCCUCUGAUUAUAGUCCAACUUUUCUUAGAGAAACUUCCACAUCUGCAUUUACUUUAGAGAAGGAUGUUAGUCUGAGUUCCUCAAAUUUGUCAGGGACAAGUACUAAACAUGCUCGCCAGUUAUUAGGUACUCUUCAGAUCCCACAAAAAUGUAUUUUUCUAUCCCCUCCACUAUCUCCUGUUCAACUUCAACAUAGGGAGCCCAAAAAUUCUAACUUGCAGCUACAUUUUGAUCAAUCAUAUUGUCAUGGUAAUGGAGGCAUUGCUCUCUCUGAUGUUGAUGCUGAGGGUUAUAUCAAUAAUCUUGAUCAUGGUCCUCCAUUGAUGAAUUACCAUAACAAAAAUUUGGCUGAAAGUUACCUGACUAAAAACUCCCACAACAUGCCCUCCCUCAAUCGUAGUGCAAGUGAAGAUUUUGUGCCUUCUGCCCAGUAUGGUCAAAGUGGCAUUCAGUACUCUAAUCGAUACAUGCCGCUUAGAAAGGCCUUGAUCCAUUCUGACAAGUCCGAUAUAGUGGACUUAUUGUUACAGACUGGUAAUAUAGAUGCCUCCCAUCAGAAAAUGAUGCAUGCACUUUCUGACUCUCGGUUGCAUGAACAUCUUGAGAGGUCCUUGGAAGGAGAAAAUGUCUCAGUGUCAUUGAAUAUGAACAGAGAAAAAUCACCUUCGCUGGAGAUGCCAAGUUCCUCGCAAGCACGGGAGGGUGAGAUGGUUGACGAGAUUAACAAAAUGGCUGCAUAUGUCAAUAUCAGCACACCUCACCAUUUCAAGGAGGAAGAAGGUCUGGAGGUGUUCAAGCGUGACACUAAUAACACUUCUGCUGAUAAAAAAUGGGAGCACUUGGGAGGAAAUGCUGAAGUUUCUUCAAAUUUUGUCAUGGAGUCUAAGAACUUGUUAAAUAUGAACUACCUUACAGAUGCAGUGGACCCCCAAGAUUACAAAUCAGAUACAACUUCUCAGUAUUCUCAUAGGAUUCAGAGUGGUACAAAUGAUCGGCAUUGUACUACAACAAGUAGUAGUCAAUCAAUUUCCCAGCCCCAUGGACUACGAACCGUUGCAUCUCAAGAAUUCUUGAUCUCAACCCCUGUAAGUACUUCUGCCGGUGUGAAAAGUUUAAAGUUUUUCUAAAUUUUUGUCAUAAUCUCUAUUCAACUAUUGGAACCUAUUUCAGCAAGUGCCUACAAGUUCUGCUUCAGAUGGAGAAUAUUCCCUGCAAGAUAAUGAUCCGGAGUAUCUGGUUGAAAAGGUGGGCAGACACUCUUCUGAGGAUUUGAAAUGUGAAGAUGUUCACCCUGUCCAGUCACAGCCCUUAGACAAUCAUAGUGACAAUAAGGUGACAAAAGCAGUUGUUAUUGUUGAAGACUUGACUAACAGUACACCAGCUGAAAUUCCCCCCUCUAAGGCGGUCUAUCGUGUCUCCCAUAUAGAUGAGACCAGUGGUGAAUGUUCGUCACCUACCGAGACAGAGAUAAGUGAAGCUGCCGAGUCUGAGGGAAAGGUGAAUAAGUUUCCAGUGAAAUUUGAGAUUUUAGUUGUAUAGUAGUAAUGUGGUGGUGAAGUUGAGCUCCUCUUAUUUAUUUUAUAGGGUGUGACUGCAGAUGGCAAACAUAGGCAUGAAACUAUUAGUGAUGCUACAAUAGCCGAAAUGGAAGCAGGCAUCUAUGGUUUGCAGGUUAAGAAUUACUAUCUUGAUGGAUUUAUGCAUGAUCUAAUAUCACGGACCUCUAUCAGCAUAAGCUUGGUGCUUGAUCUACUGCUUUUUUCGUUUUCUUUAUAAAAAUGUUGUUAAUGCUGGCCAGCUACUUUGCUGACGUGCAGAUCAUAAAAAAUGCUGAUCUUGAGGAACUGCAAGAAUUAGGAUCUGGUACAUUCGGAACUGUCUAUCAUGGAAAAUGGAGAGGGACAGAUGUUGCUAUUAAGAGAAUAAAAAAGAGUUGUUUUUCUGACAGAUCAUCAGAGCAAGAGCGACUGGUAGGUUCCAAAUAUUUCAUUAGUGUUGGAACUUCUAAAUUUCUGUUGUAAAUCUUCUCAUUAUGUCUGUCCACAAUAUAGAAUUAGAACUUAUGUGCUAGAUUCUGUAACAUUUCAUCUUGAAUGCAAUGCUGACUGAAGAAAAUUUGCUUGGUUAUAAUGUAAAUCCAACAGUCCACAAAUUGGAUUCAAUAUAUUUGCGUAAUGAAAAUGCAAACUUCUUGUUAUCACAGACUAAGGACAUCUGGAGAGAGGCAAAGAUUCUUUCCACCAUUCAUCAUCCAAAUGUUCUAGCAUUUUAUGGAGUGGUACCUGAUGGGCCUGGAGGAACAUUGGCAACUGUAGCUGAAUUUAUGGUGAAUGGAUCGUUGAGGCAUGUCUUAGUUAGGAAGGACAGGUAAUUAUCUUUUCGUUGUUUUGUUCAAUAUUACAUGCAUUGAAAUAGAUUUAUGUAGUGUUCAGAUUCUUCCUGCAGAGUACUUGACCGCCGAAAGAGGCUCAUAAUUUUGAUGGACACGGCUUUUGGCAUGGAAUAUUUGCAUUUGAAAAAUAUUGUUCACUUUGAUUUGAAGUGUGACAAUUUGCUUGUCAAUUUGAGGGAUCCUGAAAGACCCAUAUGUAAGGUAAUUCUUGCGAAACAAAUGCUUUUGCCUUCAUUUCUUUGUAUGAUGGUAGAUUAGUAGCACAAUUACUGGUACUCAUAUAAUCUUCCAGGAGCUCGUUUUAAACAGCCCUCUUUUUCACUGGCGAAAACACCUCAAGUAUGAUGCAUUAUUCUUUGCAGGUUGCUGAUUUUGGGCUAUCAAGAAUAAAACGCAACACACUAGUGUCUGGUGGUGUGCGAGGAACCCUUCCAUGGAUGGCACCAGAAUUAUUAAAUGGUAGCAGUAGCCGUGUCUCUGAGAAGGUUAGAAUCUUCAAACAUAAACAGUUCCUUUUCUUCGCGAAUGUAGUUGAAUUUGGAAUAAAAAUGCCUGAAUGAUUUAACCUAAUGAAUUUGGUCUUCUUCUUCAACAGGUUGAUGUGUUCUCAUUUGGUAUUGUAAUGUGGGAGAUCUUGACUGGAGAGGAACCGUAUGCUAACAUGCAUUGUGGUGCUAUCAUAGGUAACAUUUGCUAACCUAUCCCAAAAUGAUUCUUUGUCUUUGAUCAUUCUCAAGCCUUCUCAAGAAAUUAGCCAUGCUAAAUCAAUUGAAAUAUGAUAUUGAAGGUGAAGUAUAUGAAUUAUUUUUAUCUAAUUGCUCAUAUCCAAGUUUAAAUAGAUCUGUUAAAGUUAUACUAGUAUAGUUUUCUAAAUGGAAACUUUACCCUUGUCUCAUUCCAAAAUACAUGCCUUCCAUUUUACAUUGCUUGAUCUCAACUGCCUUUCCAGAAUUAGUCUUAGCUAUAUUGUUAUCCUUUCUACUGUGAUAAUAUUUGUGUAACCUUGAUGAAUUAUCGUUUCAUUGAAGGGGGUAUUGUAAAUAAUACACUAAGGCCUCCUAUUCCAAAGCGCUGCGACUCGGAGUGGAAAAAGUUAAUGGAAGAGUGCUGGUCUCCGGAUCCUGCUGAUCGGCCAUCAUUCACAGAUAUCACACAUAGGCUACGUGAUAUGUCAACAGCACUCCAGAAGAAGCGGUCUAAUGUUGCAAGUAGAUGAAACUCAAGAUCCUCAUGUAUGUUGCACUCACUAACAUAUAUAGAAAUAGAUUCAGCAAAUUAUAUUCCUGUAAAAUUUUGACCUCUUGUAGAUCGAAUUCAUAUAUGAAUGAAAUUAUACAUCUGCUUCAUAUAACGAAGGGUUUAGGGAAAAGGUUGUCUAAUUUACUUUCAAACGAUGGGAAAAUCUCCCAAUUAUAUAUGUUAUUUGAUCUUAAACUUCGAGUAUCGAUAUCGUUUGGUUCUAACGGCUGGACACCUUCAAAACAAAGAAAGGGUAACUGAUGAUAUGAACUUCAUCAUCGUCAGAUCGAUCUUCUAGGCAUACUCAGCUUACUGCAUAGUCUUACAUAUGCUCAUGCAUUAUUGCCAACCAUAAGUUCAAGCUAGCUCAUACGUAAUCCCACUUCUGAUGCAUACAACCCCAAGUCCCAACAGUUACUUCUUAAACACCCUCUCAAGUCUCAAACAACAAGUAGUAAAAAUGAACACAACCUUCAUUCCCAUAGUCUUUUACCAUCUAAUAAUGCAUAACUAUUGCUCUUAUUUGGUCGAACAGAUAUGAUUAAUCCAAGUAGAAAUAUUGAUUAUAAUCGUGCUGAAAGUGAUCGAGGCCUCUAUGUUUGACAUUUUGGCAAUCAUUUUGAUUGAGAAAUGAAUUAUUCAGGCUCUUAUUAACUUCAUCACCGCCAUUAAUUGUAUAUCUAUUCGUCCAAUUGGCUUCUCCACAUGACUUGUAUGAUCUUCUUGUACAUCUUGUGCACAAACUAACCAAAAAGAUUGAAAAUAAAGAUUAGUGGCAUAGCUAAUCCUAUCGUUAACUCAAUUUCAACGCCCCAAAAAGGCCAACAUUGCAGUACUUGCUCGACAGCCUCGAUCUGGUUGGUUAUCUUGUCUUGUCUAACCAACUCGUUGGUUUAUGGUUUUAUGAUUCAGAACGUGAAACUUACGAGCAUUAUCGAUUUGGUCAAGGAAUCAUUCCUCUUCUAUUUGAAAACAACUUCCAACAAUCUAGGUCGAGUCAGAAGGUGAUAUAUAUAGUGUUUGAACUCAUCUCGUUCUACUAGUCUUCUGCAGAUGAUACUCUACAGUAUAAUGUAGAUGAAAUCAACCCACCAAGUUUGUAUAAAGAAAAAGGCAAACAGGAUAGUCACCACUAUCACAUUGUCACUUCUCUUUCCAUUUCAGGUGUGCCAAUUAGUCUUAUCCUCUAUCUUAAUUUCCACAAUACACAUUGUCUCCUCUCUAUGUAUUUACCAACAAUUGCAUCAUUGGAAUGCGAAUCAGAACUCAGAUGUUUGACGGGAAGAACUACUGAUGUAACGUAUGUAAUGAUCCAUGAAAGGAAUUAACUGGAAAGAGAAUCUCAUUAUCCUGAAUAGCUUCUUUUUCCAUAUAUGUUUGUUUGAUAGCUGUAUAGAGAGCCAGAGAUAGUGGUGAUGGCUAUAGCUAAUUACUAAUGCGUUGAUGGUAAUGUGCACACAUCGAUCACAAGUUGGUGGAUCAAUAAGCUUCUCAACAUCAAUAGAUGUAACUGGAUCAACAACAUAUCGCUCUCGUCAGAAGUCAGAAGUCAGAGAGCAUUAUCUACUUAGUUCUGAUCUGCGUAAAUUUGACAUUUCUUAGAUCUUUUAAGACAAGUUUCUCAAUGUACCUUGUCAUCCAUCUGGAUCCAUCAGUUUGAUAUCGCACUAUCGCAGAGUUGUUUCUUUUCUUAAUUUCCUACUGUUAUUUUGAUUUUUGAGGUGCUAAAGUGCUAAGUGCUAACAAGUAACAACCAGAGGGGGUGUGUGUGUCAAAUUUAAAUUUAAGAUCAGGGAAGGUUUUACUUAGAAGAUAAACAACAUAAAACAUAGCAUAUAUAAGUUAGUUAAGUGAGAAUGGUUUCAGAGCCGAGUUCAACUGUUUCAAAGUUCACUAUACGAUUUUUAUACGUGGAAAAAUAAAGUAAUACACCUCUCGCUGCUUUUUGUUUAACUAUUCUCACUUUGUAAAUAAAUUAAAAGAAGUGACGGUGUCAUUUCAGAAGCGCUUUUAUUUUCUUCGAGAGAGGGUAUGCGCUUUAUAUACACCGUUAUUCUGUAGCUAACAAAUAUCUUUAAAUGUAUUGAUACAUAAAAUAAAAAAAAGAAAGUGAAGAAAGAUAAAAUACAUCUUUGAUGUCAGUGUUUCUAAUGGUUCUCACUGUUUUCUUGGUUGCUAGAGUACAUAUAUUGGGGAAGAACUCAAGAAGCUAGAACAAUGAGGAGGAAAGGUGGCGGUGAACUGAAGGGAAUUCCUACUGCAACCGGACCACAUGUACACAAACGUAGCCGGCCACAUGUCCCCAAGGAGAAGAGGCACGGUGGCUCCAGCGGAGCAGCGCAAAAAUGAAUUGGUAGUUCGGGAAACUGCUAGCUAUGGCAUUAGCCUGAGAACUGAACAACCAAGGAGAUGCGUAGAGCACGUCUUGUUUUAUUUUUCCUUAACAAUAACAUACGAUAUUUUAUUUCUCCUUCAUUAAUAUUGCUAUAGCAGACGUCUCUGAAAACCCAAGACAAAAAGAGAAAAAGAAAAAAAAAAAAAAAAAAAAAAACAGACUAAGACCAAAAAUAGAAAUUUAUUAUUUAUAUCAACUGCUACUAAUCUUCUAAUAAUUACAUGUUGAUCUAAGAUUAAUAAUGUAUACGAUGAUAACACUAUACAUAAACUCUAUCAAAUAUAUAUACAUUAGUAUAGUACUUUAGCUAGCUCAAAGCCUGCUCCUUCAAAUCUUGUUCACUGACAAAUGUCCCAUGAAAUCCAUAAGGAACUCUAGCAGGCAAUCUCACCGAACCCACUUGCUUCAUGCUUGAAGCAUCUAAGAUCACCAUCUCUGAUUUCUCCUCCCUCUCAUCCCUCACAAAACCCAUCAGAUAUCCCUCAUCAUCAUCCUCCUGCUGCACAACUCCAUUGUUCCCCUUGCUACUACUCAACUUGGGUACAUAAAACGGCUCACCCCCGAACCGGCAUGUCCCGUACAUAUACUUGGUCACCGAACCGGUUUCCAAGUCCACCUUAGCUAACCCCGAACACUUUGGCCAUGGCUCCGCUAUAGCCAUGUACAAGUACCUAGUCUCUUGCCCUAGGAGCUGCUUGUUCACCACCCCCACUUCUAAAUUUAAACCAGAGACGAUGACCCGACGACUCGACUCUCCUGACCUCAAGUUCAUCCGGAUUUCGGAUAGUUCAACCCGCAAUGGCUCGGCAUUGUGGUCGUUGAAAACCGAGUCCGGCGGAUUCAUGCACGAACCAAUGACAACAAUGAUCGGGUCACCCGAGUCCGAAGUUUCCUCCCAUGCAUUGCACAAAUGGAAACAAAAGCAACCGGGUACGUUGAUCCAUUGAAUCCCUAACCCUUCUUCAUCAUUCUUGGGCAAAAUUCCAAACCGAGACAUCUUUUCCGGGUCAUAGAUUACCGGAGACCGGCCUUUAACCAUUUCCGAUAGCUUGAAAACGACUUGCUGGUCCGGGAUCACUGCAUAGUUCUCCGUUAUGGCAAAGUCGUGCACCAUAGUAGGUUGCUCUAGUGUGAUUCCCACCUCACGUGACUUUCUCCCGCACGUGUCGAACUUGUAGUAUUUAAGGUGAGGUUUGUUCACCACGUCGUAGCUCAGCGCGUGGAGCUCACCCGUCACCGGGUCCACCUUUGGAUGAGCAAUCAUGGGCCGGUCUAGACCGCCGUUAAAAUCGAACCGUCUGAUCGUUUCUAGAUCACCGUCACCUUUGAUCUUAACGUUGUAAGGAAGGUCAUCCUCCGACAUGGCUAGUAAACGUCCGUUGAAGUACACCAAGCCGGCAUUAGCCACUCCGGUGCCUUGUGAGCGGUCAACCAAGCGAAUAGCGGCUCGGGCCAAGAAUAAGCCGAGCCGAGCCAAACCCAAGUGACCAUGAAGCUCACCAAUCGGCUUAGGAAACAUCGGCCUCCCUAGCUUGGCUUCUUGCUUGAGCCGGCUCGUGCGGGUGUACCUACAAGAAUAGCUGGCUUUGUUACCCACGCCCAAAGUGAGCGCGUGAAUCAUUCCGUCUCCGUCAAACAGGUGAUGCCCGCCCAACGGCGUAAACAUAGGAUUAGCGCCGUUACGGACGUAAACGCCACGUAAACAAUCAGGGAUUUGACCUAGUACUUCAAGGCCAUGCUGAACCGGACAUUCCCCAACCGGCGCGAAGUUGCCGGAUAUUUGAACCGCCGGGUCGAUAGUCUUGGGCAACUUCUGCUUCUUUUCUAGGGGCUCUAUAACCGAGGCUUCUAGUUUGUCUAAUACUGAGGCUGCUAGUUUUUGAAGUGGGUUUAAGUGAGAAGGGUGAUAGGGUUUGGUCGGGUUCACUAUUUCAGGCACGGGUUCGAUCAAGGGUUUCGUUUUUGGUAUUGGCAAAGGUGGUUUCAAUGGUUUCUGGGUUUCUCGAGGUAGUGUUUUCCUCAUUGGGUUGAUGAGGAUUUUGCACACUACUGAGUUUUGAGUUGUGGGUAUGUGCGUUCUAAUGGGAGUUUUAGGAGUGUAAGGGGACUGUCGAGUAGUGCUGAAAUGCAAAGACGCAUGCAUGACUACAAACCUUUGAAAGAAAGAGCUACACAGCCAAAGAAGAAAGAGAGAGGCUUGAACAGAAUGGUGGAGAUCGUAGUGGUUAUAUAAUUGAUCGAGGUGGAAAGUGUUGAGUGGGGCACACAGAGGAUGUCCAGCUGGCGAGAGGAGAAGUCGACACGUAGGAGAUAAGUUUGAGGAUUAGAAGCAUUAGCUAGGUUGGGGAUGCAUGAUGUAGUACAUGUUCUUUGUUUUCUUGGUUUGAUGGCAUGUACUGUAAGUUAGAUCGAUUUACUAUAUGUAUUUGUGUUUCCUAUGUAUUUUGCCAAAAGAAGAACUAUUUUGCAUUUGCCAAAACCCAAAAGAAGAAAUAGUGUUAUUCUCUCUGUGAAGUCUUGUCUUGGCUAAGAUAUUUAGUGUUUGAUCUCCAGCUAGCUAAUUGGAACAAGUCCCAGCGAGAACAAAGAAACACCGAACAGGAAAAUUGCACUCGAGCAAAGAAGGGGACACGGUUGCAUGUCAAUGGAAGGACACGUAAUUCGGCCAUAUAUAUAUAUAUAUAUAUAUAUAUAUAUAUAUAUAUAUAUAUAUAUACUNNNNNNNNNNNNNNNNNNNNNNNNNNNNNNNNNNNNNNNNNNNNNNNNNNNNNNNNNNNNNNNNNNNNNNNNNNNNNNNNNNNNNNNNNNNNNNNNNNNNCGCGCAAACUAUAUUACAAUUCAGUGCAAUCGCGCCCAAAUCAGAGAACAAAGAGGAGAAUGAAACGCGAAUCAUAACGGGAUUUGGCGGCAUCAAUCUUGAAUUUCAUGAACGGUGUUUUUGGAUUUCACAAAACUUCAUUAUCCCUUCCGCCUUUUCAGAUUGCGUUCCGUGAACGCGGAUGGAAAAAAGCAUCCUCGUACCUGCUUUCAGAAUUUGCGGUUCUCUGCCGCGAUUUUAGAGAGAACACAGGUUUGGAAAUUUUACCAAACAAAUAAAUGCGCAUGACAGUAAAAAAAGCAAAAAUGAGGCUGAAAACGCGUUCCCAAACGGGCCCUGAGAAAGUCAACUUUAGGGCUAUUUACUGCCGGAUUUUGCAAAUAGCACUCACAAAAAAGAUAAGCAAGGAGCAAAUGCCUAAAAGGAUUUUCGUCUUCACCUACAAUGAUUUUGUCACUGCCUCGAAAAACAACUGGAAUGAAGAAUACAAGGAAGCUUGGGCUAGUUACAGAAAGAGAGGGUUAACUGUGCCGAAAAUGGUGUUUUGGAAUCUUAAAGACCCGAUUGCAGAGCCAGAGGUGUUUGGGAGCCCUGUGAAGAACCAAAAUGAGGGGAUGAUCAUGACUGGUUUUUCAAACCUUCUGCUCAAAUUGUUCUUCAGAGGAGAGAUGGAUUCGAGAUCGAAUGCAGGCCAAAGCCAUGCUUUUUAUCGUGGUGUUAAUGUGCCGUUGGUGAUGAAAUUUGUUCCAAAGGUAGAGCAUGUGAUGAAUUGUGCACUUUCAAGAGAGGAGUUGAACAAUCUUGUUGUGUUGGAUUGAUUGAUAUGUAAUAACAUGUAGUCGUAGUUUUUUUUUUUUUUCUUUUUUCAAUGAAAUAAUAUUUCAAUAAAUUUUUAUCCACUCAAGAUGAACUGAAUUUUGGUCCUACAAUGAAUUAAUACUUAAUAUCCAUUCAGCACUAUUUUUUUUACACUCAAAAAUAAUUUUGUCAUUAGUAUUCAAGUAGAAGGUACAAUACAAAUUGAUCCGUUGCCAUGCGUAUAGAGGACAAGCAAGAUCAUAAGAUUUGUAUGAGGGUUAUAUCCUCAUUUACAUUUCGGCUCACAAUUGAGCCUACAAUCUAAUAGAAAAUAGAUUAUAGGCUAAGAUCCCACUUAGAAAACUAGAAUAAGACUAAUAAAAAAAUAGACUCAUAACGCUAAGACGCCAUGAGACACAAAAAGUGCUUAGGCACAAAAGUGCUUAGAGUGAUAAUAAAAGGACUUAUUGUACUAAAAAAUUAUAAACUAAAAAAGCAGCACAAAGCCUAAAAGGAAAUUAAACCUAAACCCAAAACAGUUGACCUAACCCAACUUUCCUUCACAGUUGCAAGAAGAAUAUGGAAGAAGAACACCAUAGCUGUCACCGCCGUGAGAUGAAGUUGCCUUCAUGAGACGUCGCCGCCGCCUUGUUUCACGCAGCCACAAGCACACCCCGGGAAGAAGAAACUCCAUCACCGUCACGAACUUAGAGACCAGACAACAUCUCCACAAAACCAAAAACUCAUCUCAUGAAUAAACAAGGACGAAGAUGGAAUCAAGAAGAUGAAACCAGAUCUGCUCCUCGAGUCCUUAGUGUCAUACAUCCAUCCUGAUAUGAAAAGCCACGCUGAUCAAAAGCUGUUAAGAACCUCUGGUUAAGAACCUCUAGCCAAUUACCUCUCAAAACAUUUGGUUGCUGACAUAUCUUUCAAUCGGCAACAAAGUCAUACGGCUUCAACAAAUCUAGAGACCCACCUUGCUUUAGACCGUCGUCGGAUGAGAGUGGGAUUUCAUGGUUGACUGUCGACUUAGAGAGAGAGAGCUUUAGGGUUUUAGUUUUUCUUAUUUCAAGUAAAAAAAAAUCGUAGGACUAACCAAAAAGUAUCCAUUCAACACUACUAUUGUUUGGUGUUGAAACAAAUAAAAGAUUUUCCAAUACGAACUUGAACCAUCACCAACAUUUUUUUUGGCGGAACAUCACCAACAUUUUCAACCUAGCUUAAUAACAAGUUCAAGUACUUUAUUUAAGGAUCCAUGACUUCUUGUUUUUCUGGUCUCUUUUUAGAGGGAGUUGGGCUCAAAUUAUUAAAACAAUAAAACUUAAGUUAUACAUAGGAAAGUAGUUCACCAGGGUUAGUUAUUUUGUGUGUGUCAAAUUCAAAUUUGAUCAAUGAAGUGGCAAAUAUCAUUUUUGAAAGAAAAUAGCUCUGAUGGAUGUGUCUAAUUUGAAUAAUAUUUUAUUGUUUUUAUAUAUAAAGAACCAAUUCUUCUCUCUCUCUCUC
rnacentral:lncRNA from 1 species